UGAAUGAGGCUUCCCUAAUUGCACUGGGCAACCGGUUCCAGUGCUUACAUGCUUUUCAUUAUGUGAGUCAUGUUUCUGCACCUCAACUCCAACUCAACAGAGUCAUAGGAUGUUUUACGGAUUUCCUCAGGAUCACAUAGUUUAAUUUGCCAGACAGGUUUACUUAAAGGCUUUCCCCCACUGCUUUCUGAAAACAGAAACAAAAUUCACAGACCAAAAUUACUGUACUUUUGAAGACAGAUAUUGGCCGGACAGAAGGCAAUGGAAGAUUUCAUGAACG